ACAGGUGAGUAAGUGAGUGCGCGUGCCCGAGGAGAGCACGAGCUGAGCAGAGACAUGAGCCUCGGUCCGAACCGACCGGACUGAACUGAUCACGAGCGGCGGAGCGGCGCGAGGACACCGUGAUUUGUACUUGUGGGGGUGAAUCUGAGGUUUUUGAGGUGAUAACAGAGUUACUGGAAUCCUCCAGCUGCGGCGUCCAAUCAUCAGGCGGCUGAGGCGAGAGGCGGGCUGUGAUUGGUCGAGCUCCUCUCAGUGGGAGGUGUGGAGGUCAGGUUUCUCUGGUCAGUGUGUGAUCUCUUCAGUCUGACGAGACACUUGUGUGCAGUUUAACCAGCUCUCAGGUCAAUCUCAACAAACUGGCAGUGAGAACAUAAAUAGAUCUGGUUCUUCAGACAGACCGGCUUCAUGAAUGACCUCUGACCCGUGAAGUCCC